GUGCCAAAUUGGCGUGGAGACUGAAGUUCUUUGUUACCAGGAUAGUAUAGUCCAGGCAGUAAUUGAGGUAUAUUGCCAGGAGGCAAUAUACCUCCACUUUGCUCUUGAGGGACCACCUCCAGAAGUGAGAAGGGAGCCCAGUCUCCAUGAUUUAGGCAGUCCCUUGAUUUU
rnacentral:sRNA from 1 species